UUUCAGUGAUGAGUCUCAACUUAGCUCACUAUGAAUAAAUAAUGACUAGUUUUGAACAUCUGAGAAAC